UACGAAGGGGGCUAGCGUUGCUCGGAAUUACUGGGCGUAAAGCGCACGUAGGCGGCUUUCUAAGUCGGGGGUGAAAUCCUGGAGCUCAACUCCAGAACUGCCUUCGAUACUGGAGAGCUCGAGUCCGGGAGAGGUGAGUGGAACUGCGAGUGUAGAGGUGAAAUUCGUAGGUAUUCGCAAGAACACCAGUGGCGAAGGCGGCUCACUGGCCCGGUACUGACGCUGAGGCGCGAAGGCGUGGGGAGCGAACGGG
rnacentral:rRNA from 1 species